AUGGCCGUGCCGAGGCAGCUGCUCCGCGUUACGAUGAUCUUGACCAUGUUCUUGGUCAGACACGCCGGAGCUCAGGGAGCAUUCUUCCCGAUGCCCCGCCACCCGAGAUUGCCAGCCCUGCCACCGACACCAGGAGGCACCCUCUGCGUCCCCCGCGAGCGGGACGCGCUUCUGGACUUCAAGGACGGCCUCACCGACCCCAUCAACUUCCUGUCGUCAUGGCGAGGUGUGGAGUGCUGCCUGUGGACGGGCAUCAUUUGCAGCAACCGGACAGGCCAUGUCGUCAUGCUCAAGAUCAACAGCGGAUGGCCGUUCGACUCGUCCAUGCACCGCGUUGGAGGUGAGAUACGCUCCUCCUUGCUCACCUUAAGACAUCUGAAGCAGUUGGACCUCUCAGACAACAACUUCGGCGGCCAACCCAUCCCGGAGCUCAUAGGAGCCCUCGGGUGUGGGCGUCUCACGCAUCUUGACCUCUCCGGCUCCAAUUUUGGUGGCCGGAUUCCUCCCCACCUCGGCAACCUUUCGAACCUGGUCAGCCUUCAGCUCAACUAUAUGGCAGAUGGCUCCUACUCGCCUGAUCUCACAUGGGUGUCGUGCCUACAGAAGCUUCAGGUCCUCGGAAUGUCUGAGGUGGACCUUAGCGCUGCCACCAGCUGGCUUCAUGAUAUCAACAUGCUCCCCCGUUUGGCAGACCUUGAUUUAAGUUAUUGUGCGCUUCAGAACUCUAUGUCUCCCCCGGCGCAUUCCAAUCUCACAUCGCUGGAGAACCUCAACCUUAUUUCAAACUCCUUCAACACAUCUCUUGGAGCCAAAAAUUUGCUUUGGGAUCUACCCGGCCUCCAAAGUCUCUUCCUAACUGGUUGCGGAAUCGAUGGUCCAAUCCCUGACGCAGUGGGGAACUUAACCUCUCUUCAGAGUUUGUAUCUUGGUUCAAACAAGUUCACUGGCAUGGUGCCGUUGAGCUUCCGGAAACUACAGAAUCUAACAGAGCUCGUAUUAGACACCAACUUCAUCAUCAUGGACAUGGCAGAUCUAAUGCAUCGGUUAGGGCACUUAAGCAGCUUGGCCACAAUCAACCUUGACAACAACGAGUUGUAUGGAGAUGUACCCGUUAGUGUACGGGAACUCAUAAAUUUGAACCAAUUAUCACUGGCCCACAACAACUUACAUGGUACAAUCACCGAGGACCAUUUCACAUAUCUGACCGCCUUACAAACCCUAGAUAUCUCUGAUAAUUCCUUAACUAUGAAGGUCGAUAGUACAUGGAAAGCUCCAUUCAACUUAUCCUAUGCAGGCUUUAGAUCUUGUAUACUAGGGCCCAAGUUUCCAUCUUGGCUUAACCAACCAACGACCUAUUAUCUUGAUGUUUCGAACACAAGCAUACAUGAUAGCAUACCUCUCUGGAUUGUUAAUCCCUCUUUUGAAUAUUUGGAUUUGUCAAGAAAUCGGCUUGUUGGCAUGCUUCCUAACCUAUUAUCUUCCUUGCAAAUACUGGAUGUCAGUUUUAACGAGAUUGUUGGCCCAAUUCCAAAACUUCCAAAUAGUCUAUUAUACUUGGACCUCUCCGGAAACAAUCUGUCAGGCGCACUGCCAUCAGUUAUAGGAGCACCAAUGCUAGAAGUACUCCUUCUCUUCAAUAAUUCCUUUUCGGGAACUAUUCCAUGCUCCAUGCUUCAGUUGCAACAGUUGAAAUUUUUAGACCUAUCAAAAAACCUACUAGAUGGGCGAUUGCCCAGUUGCUCUCGAGGAUUCGAUACCUCAACUAUUACCUUGCUUAAAUUGAACAACAACCAUAUUUUAGGAGCAUUCCCGUUGUUUCUUCAGAAAUGCAGAGAGCUAAAACUUUUGGAUCUGGCAUACAACAAAUUUUCUGGGAGCUUACCAACAUGGAUUGAGUCAAAGUUGCCACAAUUGGCACUUCUAAAUUUGCGCUCAAACAUGUUCUCUGGCGGCAUCCCUGAUCAACUAACUAGGAUGAAGGGGCUUCAAUUUUUAGACAUUGCAUGCAACAACAUCUCAGGGAACAUACCACGAUCACUUGGGAAUCUCAAAGCUAUGACUUCUACUUCCAAUAAUAGUGGUGGCCUUUUUGACCUUGUCAAUUAUAUUGUAGUUGGUGGAGUUUCUAAGGCCAUGUCCGCUGAUGCUUAUACUGUAGAGGUGGGGAUAAAAGGUCAAGUGCUUGAAUAUACCAAAGGGAUAGCAUACAUGGUAAACCUUGAUUUUUCCAGCAACAGUUUGACAGGGCGGAUUCCUAAGGAAAUUGGCAUGCUCAUUGCAUUAAAGAACUUAAACUUCUCCUGGAAUAGCCUGACUGACAUAAUACCCCAAAGCAUCGGUGCGCUACAAGCUUUGGAAUCUUUUGACCUCUCGCACAAUGGGCUCUCUGGUGAAAUCCCUACAAGCAUAUCAUCUCUAACGUCACUAACCCGCUUGAACUUGUCAUAUAAUGAUCUGACUGGGACUAUACCAUCCGGGAACCAAUUAAGAACACUAGAGGACCAAGCGUCCAUAUAUAUUGGCAACCCAGGUCUAUGUGGUCCACCUGUCCCAGGGAAUUGCUCACGAAUUGACAUAAUUCCAUAUGCUCCCCAAGAGCAUAAUGAAGGAAUGAGUGAUGUGGUUUCGUUAUACCUCAGCAUGUGCAUAGGAUUUGUAGUAGGUCUGUGGAUUGUCUUUUGUGGCUUCUUGUUCAAGAAAAAAUGGAGGAUCGGUUGGCUCUCAUUUACAGACCACAUGUAUGAUCGAGCUUAUGUGCACGUGGCCAUGGGUUGGGCUUCACUGGCAAGAAAUAUCCAUCAAGGAUGA
rnacentral:rRNA from 1 species